UGUAGGCAAACUUAAAGCUUGAACUGAUACAUUCUUUGAGGAUCUUCUGUCACAACUAAUUAAACACAAUCAGAAGUCUUUUUAAACAAGAUAAGACAGAGCACCUGGUUGGGAGCUAGAUCUCUCCGAGCCUAGAGUGCGAGGAACUAGACUGGUUGCAUGGCAGGGAAGAGGACCUUUAGACAAGAAGAUCACUCAUUUGACACUAAAUCAAUGAAGCCCUGAGCUGUUCCCUUACAGUCCAGGAAUCCUUCCACCCGAGAUUAGCAAGAAAAAAAGAAAACCUACACGAAUAACUACAUGCAGCUUGCAAUUUAUGGAUUCAAAUUUGUUUGCAUAAGUUUGCAACUAAGAAAGGAUGUGUGAGAAGACAUCACAGGCA